ncrna:unclassified sequences DTF3800-XI RNA
AGGGCUGGUCGCGAGACCCUGGUCCAUCUUUAGGAGGGGAAGUAUCCC